rnacentral:tRNA from 1 species
GGUAAGGUGGCUGAGUAGGCGGUAGACUGUAAAUCUAUUUACGAGGAGUUACCUCUCUUAUCA